rnacentral:misc_RNA from 1 species
AAUUUUUUCAACUCAAUGAUAAAUUCUUGCUUAAACCCAAUUUAUCUUCCCGCCAAUUCUCCUCCUCCUUGGUGGCUUCAGCUCGAUUGGUGGCGGCGGCGGCAGCAGCAGCUUCUGGUGUUGUUGAAACUGUUGAAGAUAAACUUCCAGCUGAUCUUCAUGUUACUGAAACACAGGAACCCAAUUCAAGAAUCAGAUUGACUGUAGAAGUUCCAACUGUUGUAUGUGAGGAUUGCUACAAACAAGUCAUAAAAGAGUUCAUGAGACGUUCAAAGGUUCCUGGAUUUCGUCCAGGGAAGAAUGUUCCAGAAGAUAUCCUUGUUGGCUUUGUCGGG